rnacentral:rRNA from 1 species
GACGAACGCUGGCGGCUUGCUUAACACAUGCAAGUCGAACGCUGAAGACCUGGCUUUUGUUGGGUUGGAUGAGUGGCGAACGGGUGAGUAACACGUGAGUAACCUGCCCUCUUCUUUGGGAUAACGCCCGGAAACGGGUGCUAAUACUGGAUAUUCACUGGCCUUCGCAUGGGGGUUGGUGGAAAGGUUUGUUCUGGUGGGGGAUGGGCUCGCGGCCUAUCAGCUUGUUGGUGGGGUGAUGGCCUACCAAGGCUUUGACAGGUAGCCGGCCUGAGAGGGUGACCGGUCACAUUGGGACUGAGAUACGGCCCAGACUCCUACGGGAGGCAGCAGUGGGGAAUAUUGCACAAUGGGCGAAAGCCUGAUGCAGCGACGCCGCGUGAGGGAUGGAGGCCUUCGGGUUGUAAACCUCUUUCGCUCAUGGUCAAGCCGCAACUGUGGGUUGUGGUGAGGGUAGUGGGUAAAGAAGCGCCGGCUAACUACGUG